GAGGGUAUAGCUCAGUGGUAGAGAGUGUGCUUAGCAUACAGGAGGUCCUGGGUUCAAUCCCCAGUACCUCCA
rfam:Camelus ferus unplaced genomic scaffold scaffold929, whole genome shotgun sequence.